CUUCUCUAUCUCAUUCCUUUCAAUCCAGAAAUAACGCAUAGCGUGCAGUGGUGGUGGUGGUAGCUAGACCUGGCAAUCUCGACCCAUACUCGUGGGUGCCCGCGGGUUACCCGCAAAUUUGCGGGUAUGGGUACCAACUUUUCAAACCCAAAAAAUUACGAGUAAAACGGGUGGGUACCCAUUAAGCUGUUGGCAUUUUGGAUAACCCGCGGAUACCUACGAGUACCCGCACAUAUAUAUUUUUAAUUAAAAAAUACAUAUUUUAAUUAAAAUACAUAUAUUUUUAUUUAUCCAUCAUAAAAAUUCUAACCCUAAUUUCUUAUCGCGUCUUUUAUAUUACGAAUUUUUUUUUGCUUUAAAACUUUAAAUAUUUUUAUUAUAUGUUAUGAUAUUUUAAAUAAUGAAUUAUGUUAUAUUUUUAAAACUUUUAUAUAUGUAUUU
rnacentral:lncRNA from 1 species